rnacentral:rRNA from 2 species
ACCCCAGGUCAGGCGGGGCUACCCGCUGAGUUUAA